UAGCUAGUUGGUGAGGUAAAGGCUCACCAAGGCGACGAUCAGUAGCUGGUCUGAGAGGACGACCAGCCACACUGGAACUGAGACACGGUCCAGACUCCUACGGGAGGCAGCAGUGGGGAAUUUUGGACAAUGGGGGCAACCCUGAUCCAGCAAUGCCGCGUGAGUGAAGAAGGCCUUCGGGUUGUAAAGCUCGUUUGUCAGGGAAGAAAAGGUCGUGGCUAAUAUCCAUGGCUCAUGACGGUACCUGAAGAAUAAGCACCGGCUAACUACGUGCCAGCAGCCGCGGUAAUACGUAGGGUGCAAGCGUUAAUCGGAAUUACUGGGCGUAAAGCGUCCGCAGGCGGUUUUGUAAGUCUGUCGUGAAAUCCCCGGGCUUAACCUGGGAAUGGCGAUGGAGACUGCAAGGCUAGAAUCUGGCAGAGGGGGGUAGAAUUCCACGUGUAGCAGUGAAAUGCGUAGAGAUGUGGAGGAACACCGAUGGCGAAGGCAGCCCCCUGGGCUAAGAUUGACGCUCAUGCACGAAAGCGUGGGGAGCAAACAGGAUUAGAAACCCUGGUAGUCCACGCCCUAAACGAUGUCUACUAGUUGUUGGGUCUUAAUUGACUUAGUAACGCAGCUAACGCGUGAAGUUGACCGCCUGGGGAGUACGGUCGCAAGAUUAAAACUCAAAGGAAUUGACGGGGACCCGCACAAGCGGUGGAUGAUGUGGAUUAAUUCGAUGCAACGCGAAAAACCUUACCUACCCUUGACCUGUCAGGAAUCCUUGAGAGAUUGAGGAGUGCCCGAAAGGGAGCCUGAACACAGGUGCUGCAUGGCUGUCGUCAGCUCGUGUCGUGAGAUGUUGGGUUAAGUCCCGCAACGAGCGCAACCCUUGUCAUUAGUUGCUACGCAAGAGCACUGUAAUGAGACUGCCGGUGACAAACCGGAGGAAGGUGGGGAUGACGUCAAGUCCUCAUGGCCCUUAUGGGUAGGGCUUCACACGUCAUACAAUGGUACAUACAGAGGGCCGCCAACCCGCGAGGGGGAGCUAAUCCCAGCCAGUGUAUCGUAGUCCGGAUUGUAGUCUGCAACUCGACUACAUGAAGUUGGAAUCGCUAGUAAU
rnacentral:rRNA from 1 species